ensembl:lncRNA
CUCAUUUGUAACUUUUCUGUGUCAGUGAGUGCAAAAGUUGAAUUAUUAAGAUAAAAGUAUUCCUUAAAUCUUCGAUUAAAUGUAUGGCUAGGAUCUAUUUACCUGCUUGUGCUGUGUUGCUGACUCGCUGUGUAAUCAGGUCCAAAAUAAGCACCACUAUUAAUGGUUUGGGCAGAGACCUCCACCUUUUCACCACCUUGCUGAUUUACGACUCAAUUAACUUUCCCUUCAUCACCUUCACUUUAGUUUCCCCCCCCCCCUUUUUCUCCAGCUUAUUCUCUUUCACUGCUUUCUUAUUUUCAUCUUCGUGGACACAUUUAAAAAGAAGAUUAGAGGAGUUGCUGUAUGUUCAAGGAGCUUCGUCCAGUGUUUUGUACGUGUCAGCUCAUCUUAGGAGUCAACCAUGCUUCUGAUACAACCAGUUAUUGUAUUUUGAACCAACUCAUACAACUUUUAUACAAAACUCUUUAAAAACAAAACUAUUCUUUGUGCACAUACAGUAACCUAGGGAAAUUAGACAGAGGUUUAGUUACAAAUAUUUUAUUCAUUUUUUAUUUUAUUAUUUUAUUUUAUUUAUUUUUUUGUAUUCAUGAAACGUAGCGUGUAACACCCACACAGGCAGAUAAAGCUUAGUUUGCUGACCAGACUCUUCUCUUAUAGUUGUUUGGUUCUUAACUCGUGCUUAUUUUCGCUCUUGUCGCAUUUGUGCAAACAAAGCUCAUUGGACCAAUUAGCAGCGCUGCUGUUGUGAUUGACAGAGGGAAGGAGCCAACCAGCUUCGAGAGAAAACAGGUUCAGGUGACGUGCGCGUCAAUCAAAACAUGAUGAAUGGCAGCGUCGAAACUAUCGCACAUUGGCUCCACUCUAUCGUAGAUCGUACAGAACACAAACUGUCGUAUAAAUAUGAUAAUUAUCGUAUAUCUGGCAACACUGUCAACAGUCGCUCGUGCUGCUGCGAAGAUAUCAGGGGACGGACGUGCGUUCUUUGUUGGAAACGAAGCAGUUUGUUCCACGGACACGCAGACAAGCAGCGGCAGACAGCGAGGCAGGCAAACAUCCGAACGCUUUCCUCCGUCAAAGUGCAUGUGGGAAUGCUGUGCUCCUGUGUGUGGACGCUGUGUUGCAUCAGAAGCAGAUCCACCGUCACAACACUUUCCUGCGUUUGAGGACACGUUACAGCCGCCUGUUUGUGGGUCUCUCAGCUCCUGGACUCGUGCGUUAACACCCCUGAAACCCCCUUGAUGGAAGCUUGCUCUGCCGACCACCGAGUGGCUGUCGGGGACCGCAGGCCCAGGCGGACGCCGCCACCUCUGAGUGAGCGCCAGCAGCAGAGCGUGAGAGACAAACGGCAGCAAUCAGUGCGAUGCAGCUUGAUUUGCUCGUUCCUCCUUCCUUCAGGCUGCUGCGUCGCUUUGUCGGCAUCGUCCGCCUCCUGCGCCGCUCCUGUAUUCAGCUCCCGUCUCCUCCACUCACUGGAUCAAAGGAACAAACUGGGAGGUAACACAGUAGGCGCACAGACCGACACAUCAGCUUUCAUCUUUACUAAAAAGUUAAAUAUUCAGCCAUUUAAGACAAUUAGCAUUUAGCUCCAGUGUCUCUGGAGCGUCAGAGUGUGUUUUGCUGUUUAUUGACCGUGCUUUAACUUCACUUCCUCAGUUAUACUGUGGAAGAACAGCUGUCACUCGGCCUGACAUCCAAUUUAAUCAUCCUGGUGGCAGCUUGCUGCAGCGGGGGGCACGUUGUCAGAUCUCAGUUUAGAGGACAGCUAUGAAACACUUUAAUUUGUUAUUUAAAGUAGUCUUGUGGUUUGCGCGUGAACUCUUGAUUAAUUCAUUGACUUUGAAGGUUUCGCUUCUUAAGAAGCUACUGGGUUGUAAUUGUCUCCUUUCAUCUGUGGUAAAGAGUCAUAUUUGUGCUGCGUCAGCUCAUUUCGUUGGAGGUUCUUAUAACUCUGUAUUAUCAUUAUCAUCACAGACAAUUGUUCUAACAGGCUGCGCAUUUGUCAAAAGUUGCUUUUUGGAGUUUGCCUGUGAACAUAAUAAGCAUUCGGCCAAUUCGAGCCCUUUAAGUCGUGGGUGAAAAAGACAUUUUCUGUCUAAUGAAUACACAGCAGAGUGUCUGUGAAUGCCUCGGCAGCCUUGAGGUUUACCGGCUAUGCCUGAUUGAUGAUGUUCAAACAGCAGCUGAAAUAGCUGUGAGGGACGUUAUAAAGAGCUCAGAGGGCGAGAGCUGAGUCGGGCUGAUGUGAACCUUCACCCUCCACCUCUUUAGAAUGUCAGCGAGCACACACACACACACGCACACACACACACACACACACUGAGCUCUGUCAGAGUACGUCUCACUUUGUCUCGCACACAGAGACGCUCGGCCUUUGAAGGUCGCGUCGCUAACCUCUAAUGUGCUGCAGGGUCCCAGUAAGUAGCUGCAAACUGUUUUCUUUCAUCUUGAGGAAAAUAAAUGAGGAGACGGGAGAGGAGCGGUGGAAGUU